rfam:TPA: Bos taurus chromosome 13, whole genome shotgun sequence.
UCCAUGGUAGCUCAGCUGGUAAAGAAUCUGCCUGCAAUGCAGGGGACCCAGGUUCGAUCCCUGGGUUGGGAA